GCACGGGCGGUGCAGUUGGUAGCACUAUUUCCAUGCAACAAGAAGACCCUGGGUUCAAAUCCCGGCCUGGGUC